rnacentral:rRNA from 1 species
AACGAACGCUGGCGGCAGGCCUAACACAUGCAAGUCGAGCGAGGACUUCGGUUCUAGCGGCGGACGGGGGAGUAACGCGUGGGAAUGUGCCCUUCUCUACGGAAUAGCCCUGGGAAACUGGGAGUAAUACCGUAUACGCCCUAUUGGGGAAAGAUUUAUCGGAGAAGGAUCAGCCCGCGUUUGAUUAGGUAGUUGGUGGGGUAAUGGCCUACCAAGCCGACGAUCCAUAGCUGGUUUGAGAGGAUGAUCAGCCACACUGGGACUGAGACACGGCCCAGACUCCUACGGGAGGCAGCAGUGGGGAAUCUUAGACAAUGGGUGCAACCCAGAUCGAGCCAUGCCGGGUGAGUGAUGAAGGCCUUAGGGUUGUAAAGCUCUUUCAGCUGGGAAGAUAAUGACGGUACCAGCAGAAGAAGCCCCGGCUAACUCCGUG